ACAGAUACAUAGCAUUGGUUUUUCUCUUCUAUUUCACUCAAUCACAGCCUGCUUCCUCUCUCCUCUAAUCAGUGUGAUAGAAAUCACGUAAUUGUAGAAUCUGCUGUUCUUCACCGUGAAAGACGAAUCUUUUGUUGGGAGAUCUGGAUAACAAAACUGAGUUUAGUCUGGCGUUCCAUGUUUACAUGGCUAGACAUCUUCUCUUUGGCACUCUUUAGAACAGGAAAUAAUGAAGAAAAUGCUCCAAAUACAUCGACAAACAACACAUGUAAUGAGGUAGCAGUAACGGUCUUGUGUGCGCUAAACUUGAGAGCCUCGGGGAUCAAAGAUAUGUUGAUCUGGAACCCUGUUACCAGAGAAAACCGAUUUGUUGCUGAACCAAAGAGGCAUUCCCGGCCUACCAAGCGAAACCGGUGGUUUCUUAGACACGGCCAGCUAAAGCUAAAGAAUGAUGGUUCACACUUUAAAAAUGUUCUUGCUCAUGUAUUUGGUUUCACACCCGGAACCAAUGAUUACAAAGUGGUAAGAAUCACUUCUUAUAAGGAGCCUGGUGAGGCUAUAGACAUUAAACUGGAGAUUUUUAACAUGAGUACUGACAAGUGGAGAACGUACCCCCGCAGGUGGAUCCCUCUAUGCUCUUAAAAAUGAUUCGGUCCCACAAUACCCGGUGUUUAAAAGGGGCAUUUCAUUGGCUUUGUGAUGCCUCACUAGGUGCAAGUGGGAAUGAUACAGCAAUCUUGUCAUUUGGCCUUGAAGAAGAGCAAUUGAGAUUGUUCACAGUGUUGGAUUCUAAUAAAAUUCACAGUGUUGGAUUCUAAUAAAAUUCCUCGUCUAAAGUCUGAGAAGCUAGAUUGUAUGAAUGACUCGCUAUCAUUGAUUGUUCCUUAUUAUUAAAGCCCUUUCACAAUCAUUGAUAUAUGGGUGAUGAAUGAAUAUGGGGAUCGGAACUCUUGGGUUAAGAAGUACUCUAUCGAUCAGUUUCAAGGACGUGGAAUGGACUUAAUGGGAUACUCAUACAAGAUGCUUUUACUUUUUAGCGGGAAUAUGGGAGGCAAUGCGGCCUUUAUGUACGUAAGCCUUCUAAAAAAUCCAAUCGAAGGAGUAAACUGGUGUCAAAGGUACUUAAGUGUAGCUGCGGUGGAUAACAUUGUGAGACCUGAGAUUCAGCCAACUGAGAAGCUUGAGCAUCAAAGGAAGAGCAUGCCAACGUUGUUCCUUCGAUUCCAGUGACCACAGAUGACCAGUCUACUCCAAAAACAUUCCAAGUUGAAGCUAAAGACCUCAAAUAAGAGAAAGAGGUGUCGGCGAAGGUUGAUAGUUGGAAUUGUAGAUUCUAGCCCGUGUACAUUUUCGGGAUUGUCUGGAUGCAUAUGUUUUGUACCCGGUGUCUCUCAAGUCUCAACUUCCAACAAUAUUGUUAAUUGUUUAUAAUGCUAAAGAAUAAUACAAUUGUGUU